rnacentral:rRNA from 1 species
CCUACGGGAGGCAGCAGUGAGGAAUAUUGGUCAAUGGACGAGAGUCUGAACCAGCCAAGUAGCGUGAAGGAUGACUGCCCUAUGGGUUGUAAACUUCUUUUAUAUGGGAAUAAAAUGUUCCACGUGUGGGAUUUUGUAUGUACCAUAUGAAUAAGGAUCGGCUAACUCCGUGCCAGCAGCCGCGGUAAUACGGAGGAUCCGAGCGUUAGCCGGAUUUAUUGGGUUUAAAGUGAGCGUAGGUGGAUUGUUAAGUCAGUUGUGAAAGUUUGCGGCUAAACCGUAAAAUUGCAGUUGAAACUGGCAGUCGUGAGUACAGUAGAGGUGGGCGGAAUUCGUGGUGUAGCGGUGAAAUGCUUAGAUAUCACGAAGAACUCCGAUUGCGAAGGCAGCUCACUGGACUGCAACUGACACUGAGGCUCGAAAGUGUGGGUAUCAAACAGGAUUAGAGACCCUUGUAGUC